AAACCCUGUGAGGGGAGUGAAAUAGAACCUGAAACCGUGUGCCUUCAAGUAGUUAGAGCCCGUUAAUGGGUGAUAGCGUGCCUUUUGUAGAAUGAACCGGCGAGUUACGAUUACGUGCGAGGUUAAGUUGAGAAGACGGAGCCGCAGCGAAAGCGAGUCUGAAUAGGGCGAAUUAGUACGUGGUCGUAGACCCGAAACCAGGUGAUCUACCCAUGUCCAGGAUGAAGGUGAGGUAACACUUACUGGAGGCCCGAACCCACGCACGUUGAAAAGUGCGGGGAUGAGGUGUGGGUAGCGGAGAAAUUCCAAUCGAACCUGGAGAUAGCUGGUUCUCUCCGAAAUAGCUUUAGGGCUAGCCUCGCGAUUAAGAAUACUGGAGGUAGAGCACUGUUUGGACUAGGGGGGCAUCUCGCUUUACCGAAUUCAGACAAACUCCGAAUGCCAAUGAUUUAUACGCGGGAGUCAGACUGCGAGUGAUAAGAUCCGUAGUCAAAAGGGAAACAGCCCAGACCACCAGCUAAGGUCCCAAAGUAAUCGUUAAGUGGAAAAGGAUGUGGCGUUGCUUAGACAACCAGGAUGUUGGCUUAGAAGCA
rnacentral:rRNA from 1 species